AUGGAAGAGACAAAAGAAACGCU
rnacentral:piRNA from 1 species